CUUCGGGACCCAAAGCACCUACCUGACUCAACCACAUUGAGCAACAUGGAGGCCACUUCAGAUUCAGUCAUGUUGGACCACUUGGAAGGCACGUCGACAAAAAGCAUCGUCAGCACUGAACCAACAGAUUCACAGCAGGACACAGCAAUUAUUGUGGGUACAUCUUUGAAAUGCUCCAAUGAAAAGCAAGCUGGGAAGGUGAGAAGCAAGUGGACAGAUGAUGAAGUGAAGGCUGUCGAACGGCAUAUGUUACAUUUCAUAACAAGGUGCAAGGUACCAGGUAAAAGGGACUGUGAUGCCUGCCUUCAGGCAGAACCAGUAGCUCUAAAAGACAGAGACUGGGCUGGAAUAAAAUACUACAUACACAACAGAAUCGUAGCAUUAAAAAGGAGGAUGAAUAAA